AUGGAAAUAACUGACACAGAUGAAGAACUUCAGGUGGACAUGGUUUUGGAGGAAGAAGAAGACAAAGAAAGAGAAACAGAGGGUGAAGUAGAGAUUAAGGUAGAGGUGGACGAUGACGUUGAAACAGAACCAUCAGUCCAGAAACUUGAUGUGGAACAUCUGUCUGCUGUGAGGCCUGUUAAUGAGAGUGUAUCUGAUGAGGAGGAUGAAGAAGGAGAAGCACCAAUAUCACUGCCUGUUCAUGACCAAGACAUCACUGAAGACCACGAUGAGAACAACAACAACAGCGAGAGGCUGAAAACUGACCCUGAGAGGCUGAAAAGAGCUGCAUCCAAAGCUGAUCGCAAAGACAUACACCUCGAGAAACAGCUCGAGAAAGAUGAAGUAACCCAAUUAUCCAAAGAGGAAGAAGUGGAGAAGCCCUCUGAGAAAAAGAAAGAUUUAUUAGAGCCUGAACUUGAAAAGAAGGAAGCAUCCAAAGACAAAAUUGAGGAGGACAAAAAACCAAAACAAAAGAAAGAAGUAAAGAAAACACCCAAAGAAAAAGAAGAAAAGAAACAUCCAAUACAGGUAAAGAAACUCCUCAAGAAAGAAACAGAAGAAAAGAAACCUCCCAAAGAAAAGGAUGAACUGAAAAAGCCUCAGAAAAAAGUGAAAGAGGAGGAGAAACCUUCCAAAGAAGUAAAAGCUGAAAAGAAACCUCUCAAAAAAGUAAAAGAAGAGAAAAAACCUCUCAAAGAAAAGGGUGAUCUGAAAAAACCUCCAAAAGAAAAAGAGGUGAAAAAACCUCUCAAAGAAAAGGAUGAUCUGAAAAAACCUCCAAAAGAAAAAGAGGUGAAGAAACCUCUGAAAGAAAAGGAAGAAGUGAAGAAACUUCCCAAAGAAAAACAGGAAGGGAAGAAACCUCCCAAAGAAAAAGAAGAGAAGAAACCUCCUAAAGAAAAGGCAGAGGUGAAGAAACCCCCCAAAGAAAAGGAAGAAGUCAGGAAACCUCCCAAAGAAAAAGAAGAGACAAAACCAACCAAAGAGAAGGAAGAAGUGAAGAAACCUCCCAAACAAAAAGAAGUGAAGAAACCUUCCAAAGAAAAAGAAGAGGUAAAGAAAGCUCUCAAAGAAAAAGAAGUCAAGAAACCUCCAAAAGAAGUAAAAGAAGAGAAGAAACUUCCCAAAGAAAAGAAAGAAGUGAAGAAACCUCCCAAGGAAAAGGAGGAAGUAAAGAAACCCCCUAAAGAAGUAAAAGAAGAGAAGGAACCUCCCAAAGAAAAAGAAGAGGUAAAGAAAGCUCCCAAAGAAAAAGAAGUCAAGAAACCUCCAAAAGAAGUAAAAGAAGAUAAGAAACCCCCCAAAGAAAAGAAAGAAGUGAAGAAACCUCCCAAGGAAAAGGAGGAAGUAAAGAAACCCCCUAAAGAAGUAAAAGAAGAGAAGGAACCUCCCAAAGAAAAAGAAGAGGUAAAGAAAGCUCCCAAAGAAAAAGAAGUCAAGAAACCUCCAAAAGAAGUAAAAGAAGAUAAGAACCCCCCAAAGAAAGAAAGAAGUGAAGAAACCUCCCAAGGAAAAGGAGGAAGUAAAGAAGCCCCCCAAAGAAGUAAAAGAAGAGAAGAAACCUUCCAAAGAAAAGAAGGAAGUCAAGAAAGCCCCCAAAGAUGUAAAGGAAAAGAAGGAACCUCCCAAAGAAAAGAAGUCAAGAAACCUCCAAAAGAAGUAAAAGAAGAGAAGGAACCUCCCAAAGAAAAAGAAGUCAAGAAGCCUCUCAAAGAAGUUAUAGAAGAGAAGAAAUAUCCCACAGAAAAGGAAGAAGUGAAGAAACCUCCAAAAGAAGUAAAAGAGAGAAGAAACCUCCCAAGGAAAAAGAGGAAGUGA
ensembl:lncRNA